GGAUCGUUAUCGGAUUUACUGGGCGUAAGCGCGCGCUAGCGGCUUGUUAAGUCAGAUGUGAAAUCCCCGGGCUCAACCUGGGAACUGCAUUUGAUACUGGCUAGCUAGAGUCUCGGAGAGGGGGGUAGAAUUCCAGGUGUAGCGGUGAAAUGCGUAGAGAUCUGGAGGAAUACCGGUGGCGAAGGCGGCCCCCUGGGCUAAGACUGACGCUCAGGUGCGAAAGCGUGGGGAGCAAACAGGAUUAGAUACCCUGGUAGUCCACGCCGUAAACGAUGUCUAUUUGGAGGUUGGGCCCUUGAGGCGUGGCUUCCGGAGCUAACGCGUUAAAUCGACCGCCUGGGGAGUACGGGCGCAAGGCUAAAACUCAAAUGAAUUGACGGGGGCCCGCACAAGCGGUGGAGCAUGUGGUUUAAUUCGAUGCAACGCGAAGAACCUUACCUGGUCUUGACAUCAGAGAACUUUCAGAGAUGGUUGGUGCCUUCGGGAACUUGAUACAGGUGCUGCAUGGCUGUCGUCAGCUCGUGUUGUGAAUGUUGGGUUAGUCCCGCACGAGCGCACCCUUUCCUUGUUGCCGCGGUUCUGCCGGGACUUUAGGGACUGGCCGUGAAAACUUGAAGAAAGGGGGAUGACCUCAGUCUUCUGGCCCUCCAGUAGGGUUCCACCUGCUACAUGGGUAUACAAAAGGAUCGACCCCCCAGAGGAGCGGACUCCUAAAGAUGACGAAUCCGGAUGGAGCUGCACUCGCCUCCUGAAUCGGAACCCUAGUAUCGAGAUCAAAUGUCCCGGGAAACCUUCCCGGCCUUGUC
rnacentral:rRNA from 1 species